GUAGUGGGUGUAGCGUACCUACUAGCCUACGACGGGUACGGGUUGUGAGAGCAAGAGCCCGGAGAUGGAUUCUGAGACACGAAUCCAGGCCCUACGGGGUGCAGCAGGCGCGAAAACUUUACAAUGCCGGCAUCGGCGAUAAGGGAACCUCGAGUGCCAGGUUACAAAUCUGGCUGUCGUGAUGCCUAAAUAGCAUUGCAUAGCAAGGGCCGGGCAGGACCGGAGCCAGCCGCCGCGGUAACACCGGCGGCUCGAGUGGUAACCGUUAUUAUUGGGUCUAAAGGGUCUGUAGCCGGCCGGAUAAGUCUCUUGGGAAAUCUGACCGCUUAACUGUCAGGCUUUCAGGAGAUACUGUCUGGCUCGAGGCCGGGAGAGGUGAGAGGUACUUCAGGGGUAGGGGUGAAAUCUUGUAAUCCUUGAUGGACCACCAGUGGCGAAGGCGUCUCACCAGAACGGACCUGACGGCAAGGGACGAAAGCUAGGGGCACGAACCGGAUUAGAUACCCGGGUAGUCCUAGCCGUAAACGAUACUCACUAGGUGUCGGCCACGGCGCGACCGUGGUCGGUGCCGUAGGGAAGCCGUGAAGCGAGCCACCUGGGAAGUACGGCCGCAAGGCUGAAACUUAAAGGAAUUGGCGGGGGAGCACCACAACGGGUGGAGCUUGCGGUUUAAUUGGAUUCAACGCCGGAAAUCUUACCGGGACCGACAGCAAUAUGAAGGCCAGGCUGAAGACUUUGCCGGAUUAGCUGAGAGGUGGUGCAUGGCCGUCGUCAGUUCGUACUGUGAAGCAUCCUGUUAAGUCAGGCAACGAGCGAGACCCACGCCCACAGUUGCCAGCGUACUCUCCGGAGUGAUGGGUACACUGUGGGGACCGCCGCUGCUAAAGCGGAGGAAGGAAUGGGCAACGGUAGGUCAGUAUGCCCCGAAUAUCCCGGGCUACACGCGAGCUACAAUGGUUGGUACAAUGGGCAUCUACCCCGAAAGGGGAUGGCAAUCUCCUAAAACCAAUCUUAGUCCGGAUUGAGGGCUGCAACUCGCCCUCAUGAAGCUGGAAUCCGUAGUAAUCGCGUUUCAACAGAACGCGGUGAAUACGUCCCUGCUCCUUGCACACACCGCCCGUCAAACCACCCGAGUAGGGUCUGAAUGAGAGCGCUUCCUCUGGAGGCGUUCGAAUUUGGGCUUUGCAAGGGGGGUUAAGUCGUAACAAGGUA
rnacentral:rRNA from 1 species